CAUGACAUGAUGGUGUAGUGUGUAGGUGGCGUGUACCUGUAACAGUUGUUGUUGUAUUUGUUGUAGCUUCCCAGAGACGUCAGGACUCCUUGGCAUACGGCGUAGGAGAAGAAGACCUGAGUCCCGGCAUCCAGCCAGACCUGGAUAAAGGGUCGGCCAGCCUGCGGAAGUCGGGCAUGAGGUAAAAUUUGAGGCCUUCCCCGGCGCCAGGCAGCGUCACCCCGCGGAAGAAGAGGAGGAGGAGCAUCAGAUGCAGAAGUAGCAGAUGACCCAGGCCAGCAGCAGGCACAGCGCCAGGUCCCAGUGCACCUUGCCCAGGGACAUGGAGUCCGACAUCCUCAACACCCGAUUCCUGCAAGAGCACGGCGGUGACGGCUCCCUCGCUGGUGAACUGGCCCAACGCCGUCUCCAGGAAGAAGAUGGGGAUGCCGCCGAAGAAGAGGAAGAUGAAGUAAGGGAUGAGGAAGACACCUGAAGGCAGGUUUAUCAUUGGUGUUAUUAUUCAGGGAGGUUUUCAGCUGUUUAAUCAAAUGAAUUAAUCGUGAUUAAUCACCAUUUGCAAUAACCGUAAAUCUCAGGUUUAUCAUUGGUGUUAUUAUUCAGGGAUGUUUUCAGCUGUGUAAUCAAAUGAAUUAAUCAUGAUUAAUCAUCAUUUGCAAUAAUCGUAAAUCACGGGUUUAUCAUUGGUGUUAUUAUUCAGGGAUGUUUUCAGCUGUGUAAUCAAAUGAAUUAAUCAUGAUUAAUCACCGUUUGCAAUAACCGUAAAUCACGGGUUUAUCAUUGGUGUUAUUAUUCAGGGCUGUUUUCAGCUGUUUAAUCAAAUGAAUUAAUCAUGAUUAAUCACCAUUUGCAAUAACCGUAAAUCGCGGGUUUAUCAUUGGUGUUAUUAUUCAGGGCUGUUUUCAGCAGAUUCAUCAAAUGAAUUAAUCAUGAUUAAUCACCAUUUGCCGUAACCGUAAAUCACGGGUUUAUCAUUGGUGUUAUUAUUCAGGGCUGUUUUCAGCAGAUUAAUCAAAUGAAUUAAUCAUGAUUAAUCACCAUUUGCAAUAACCGUAAAUCACGGGUUUAUCAUUGGUGUUAUUAUUCAGGGCUGUUUUCAGCUGUUUAAUCAAAUGAAUUAAUCAUGAUUAAUCACCAUUUGCAAUAACUGUAAAUCACGGGUUUAUCAUUGGUGUUAUUAUUCAGGGCUGUUUUCAGCAGAUUAAUCAAAUGAAUUAAUCAUGAUUAAUCACCAUUCGCAAUAACCGUAAAUCACGGGUUUAUCGUUGGUGUUAUUAUUCAGGGCUGUUUUCAGCAGAUUAAUCAAAUGAAUUAAUCAUGAUUAAUCACCAUUUGCAAUAACCGUAAAUCACGGGUUUAUCAUUGGUGUUAUUAUUCAGGGCUGUUUUCAGCUGUUUAAUCAAAUGAAUUAAUCAUGAUUAAUCACCAUUUGCAAUAACUGUAAAUCACGGGUUUAUCAUUGGUGUUAUUAUUCAGGGCUGUUUUCAGCAGAUUAAUCAAAUGAAUUAAUCAUGAUUAAUCACCAUUCGCAAUAACCGUAAAUCACGGGUUUAUCGUUGGUGUUAUUAUUCAGGGCUGUUUUCAGCAGAUUAAUCAAAUGAAUUAAUCAUGAUUAAUCACCAUUUGCAAUAACCGUAAAUCACGGGUUUAUCAUUGGUGUUAUUCAGGGCUGUUUUCAGCUGAUUAAUCAAAUGAAUUAAUCAUGAUUAAUCGCCAUUUGCAAUAACCGUAAAUCCUACCACAUAAGCCGCUACUCUUAUUUAUGGCUAAAUUCUAAUCUUGUAACAUGUCCUUUAUGUCAGAACUGCAACUGAAUGUUUAAAUACCGUACCACUCGUUCUUUGGAAGGAGCCAAUCACGAGCUAGCAGUGCGCUCGCAACGAGCUUGUCAACCCACUGCAAAUCGUAGAUUAUUCUCUACAAUGGUUCUACAACAUAGUACUUAAGUCAUCACACAGCAACUUAACACUCAAAAUUUAUACCUGAUAAAUAUACAAACCUAUUAAUAUAAGUAGGGAUGUCUGAUAUGACGAUGUUGUCCAAGUCUCAAUUUCCGGCUGGGAAAAACCGCCCACUGUGGGGGCAUUCAUGUCGGAUACGCUACCUCGUCUCCCGUCCAUGGAGGUUGCCCGGGAGAGGCCGCCCACUCACAUAUAGUGAUGGUUUUAAAACUAUAAUAAAUAAUGCUAAUAAAUACAACCAUCCAAAUGGUGAUAAAUAAUAAUAAUAAAGAUAAACAUAACAUAAGACGACCCAUUGAAGACUCUUCGCCCAACCUCACCUUGCUUGUAUUGUUUAUUCACCUGCCUCAUCCUUGUGCAUUACGUUCCUUACUCAAUCCGUUCCACAGUUUGAUUCCACAUCCUGAAGUGCUUGUAGAAAAGUUUGGAAUAGCAUUCUUUGGCAUCCCACUUUUCUUCCUGAGGCUUUGCGUGCUGCGUGCGGGAUGAAACUCCCCUCUUACAUUUUUUUUGUAGAAAAACGCUUAAUGAAAACAGGGCAGCACAUCUGGCCGUGACGUUGACGUAGUACGCUCAGUGCUCGAUGCCGGCCUCUGUUGUCUACAUAUUACAUUGCUGUGUCAUGUUUCAGCAUUUUAUUUAAGACGCCAUGAGUAAGAAUAGUAGGCGGAGCUACCGUGCUGACGUUAUCGAACAUCUCUGAAUAUACGUCUAAAAUGGUAACUCCAAAUUGUCCAUAUAGGUAUGAAUGUGAGUGUGAAUGGUUGUUUGUCUAUAUGUGCCCUGUGAUUGGCUGGCCGGCCACCAGUCCAGGGUGUACCCCGCCUCUUGCCCUAAGACAGCUGGGAUAGGCUCCAGCACCCCCCUCCGUGACCCUCGUGAGGAUAAGCGGUAGAAAAUGAACGAACAAAUGAAAAAAAAUCUUAAAGCACUGCGAUGACGUCAGCCUCCCGCUAGGCUCCAGGAUCCUCUGGCUCUCUCUGGUGCACCGAGGGAGCAUUGCAGCAUUGCAAUUUUCUAUGCCGCUUGUCCACGUGGACCCGUGCGACUUUUGUAGCGGAAUUUAAAGUCGAUUUGUAUUGAACUUUAUUGAAAUAACGAUAAAUGACAGGAUAGGAUUGUUUGAAAAUGUACAUUUAAAUAAAGACAAAACAUCUGAAAAUCUAUUUUCCUAUUAGCUCAACAUUUAAUCGUGUUAUUAUGGCCAAUAUGGUUGCAUUCAAAGACACCCCGUCAUUCAGUAAAUUCAUAUGUUUUGCAUGUAUUUUUCUAGUAUUUCCGAGUGUACUCGAAUGCAUCCGAUUGUACUUUUAUAUUAAUAGCUUCUGUGAGCGAUAGGAAUAUCCACUUAUUGUUGUUUUAGACCCCCACAUGCACACGUAAUAAAGACGCCGUUGUGACUUUCGGUGUCCUUGAAUGCAUCUCACUGUCCAGUGACAAUGAGGAUGUGUCUAUGCUAGGAAGAGCAGACUAGAGUUGGAGAUACUUAGUGUAUUAUAAAGUGUAUUACACUGCUGUUAUUGUGUAAAAGAGCAUCAGACUCUGUGGGGACGCUACACUGUGGGACAUGUGAUUAAUUACACUAAAAAGUGCUAUUAAUUAAAGCCGGUUCCGCAAUUAAUGUGCUAUUUUGACAGCUCUGUUAUUAUUGUAAGAAUUUUUUUGAUUAAAAAUAUUGUGCAUUUAGUGCUCUAAAGUACUGAGAUGGAAAGGUGAGUUCCUUCAGGGAUGCAAUCAAACUAAAUUGGCUUCGGCCCAACAUCUUGAAGCAAUUUCGGAGCGCAGUCGACAUCGGCGUUUCCCAACUUUCACACACAUGCAGACAGGAACUGAACGUCCCUCACCUCCGCCGUUCUUGUAGCACAAAUAAGGGAAGCGCCAAACAUUUCCCAGGCCGAUGAUUUCUCCGGUCAUGGAGAGCAAGAACUCCAACUUGUUGGCCCAUUUCUCUCUGGCUGGACCUUCUUCAUCGGGAUCCACUUUGUUUGGAUCACUGUGUCGCUCUCUGGGGAUCCCUCCGGUUGUUUCCUCAGUCAUGGUCUGGUGUGUGCACACAUAACAAACAUUGCUAAAUCUUUGCACAGCAUCUUCACAUGGAAUCUCAUCUGCAGGACAUUGUUUUUUUUUUAUUUCCAAUUCCAAAAUAAUGAACUGUUAAUAAAAGCAAACAAAUAGCAUCUCCAGUUCCCAAACAUGCAACUCACCGGUGAUCUUGCAGUGGAUCCUGACUCCACAAAUGAAGCACUGGAGCAAGGCUUUAAGAGAAAAAGCUUUUUCUCAAGUGGGGUGUGUCCAUGGUGGAUGCAGAAGAAGAAAAAAAAAAGAGAGAGAGAGGGAGAGAGAGAGAGAGAGAUCCUAAAGAAAUUGGAACGCAUGCCACACUUGAGGACUUUUGUGCUCCUGAACCAUAUGAUCCUCCAUGAAUCGGUCCCCUUGUGAUACUUGAAUGUGGUUAUUGUGUCUCACCGUGAGGGGUUUAAGUUGAGCAGAUAGGAAUUAUUAUUUUCAUACACUAUUUCGAACGAGAUGGUAUGGAAGUCUGGUUCUGUCACUGAAAGAAAGAAAUAUGUGAAGUCAUAAUUAGGAGCUAAAAAGUCCAAUUUAUGAAAUAAAAAGUGCAAAUUAUGAGUUAAAGAGUCACAAUUAUGAGAUCAAAAUCCAAAUUAUGAGUUAAACGUAGAAUUAUCAGAUGAAAAAUCCAAAUUACAAGAUAAAAAUCAUGAUUAUGAUAUAAGGAAAUGGUAAUUCUGACAUAAAAAGUCCAAAUUAUGAAAUAAAAAGUCCAAAUUAUGAGUUAAAAGAGUCAUAAUUAUGAGAUCAAAAUCUAAAUUAUGAGUUAAAGGUUGAAUUAUCAGAUGAAAAAUCCAAAUUACGAGAUAAAAAAAUCAUGAUUAUGAUAUAAGGAAGUGGUAAUUCUGACAUAAAAAGUCCAAAUUAUGAGUUAAAGAGUCACAAUUUAGAGAUCAAAAUCUAAAUUAUGAGUCAAAGGUAGAAUUAUCAGAUGAAAAAUCCAAAUUACGAGAUAAAAAUCAUGAUUAUGAUAUAAGGAAGUGGUAAUUCUGACAUAAAAAGUCCAAAUUAUGAAAUAAAAAGUCCAAAUUAUGAGUUAAAAGAGUCAUAAUUAUGAGAUCAAAAUCUAAAUUAUGAGUUAAAGGUAGAAUUAUCAGAUGAAAAAUCCAAAUUAUGAGAUAAAAAUCAUGAUUAUGAUAUAAGGAAGUGGUCAUUCUGACAUUAAAAGUCCAAAUUAUGAGUUAAAGAGUCACAAUUAUGACAUCAAAAUCUAAAUCAUGAAUUAAAAGUAGAAUUAUCAGAUGAAAAAUCCAAAUUACGAGAUAAAAAUCAUGAUUAUGAUAUAAGGAAGUGGUCAUUCUGACAUAAAAAGUCCAAAGUAUGAGUUAAAGAAGUCACAAUUAUGAGAUCAAAAUCUAAAUUAUUAGUAUAGGUAGAAUUAUGAGGUGAAAAAUCCAAAUUAUUAGAUAAAAAUCAUGAUUAUGAUAUUAGGAAGUGGUAAUUCUGACAUAAAAAGUCCAAAUUAUUAGAUACAAACUGCAUAAAGGCUUCACAUGCAAAUUAUUUAGAUUCAAAAUUCAAAAUAAAAUAACUUCCGCUUUUUAUUUCAUAAUUAUGACCUUCCUAUCUUAUAAUUAUGUAUUUUUUAUCUCA